rnacentral:rRNA from 6 species
CACACCGCCCGUCGCUACUACCGAUUGAAUGGUUCAGUGAGGCGUUCGGACUGGCCCAGGGAGGUCGGCAACGACCACCCAGGGCCGGAAAGUUCUCCAAACUCGAUCAUUUAGAGGAAGUAAAAGUCGUAACAAGGUCUCCGUUGGUGAACCAGCGGAGGGAUCAUU